AAAAAAAUAAGCUAAUUAAGCUAAAGGGUUCAUACCCCUUAUAUGAAAGUUUUAAUCUUUCUUUUUUUA
rnacentral:tRNA from 1 species